AACAAUAAGUAGCAAAACUUAGGCUAAAAACCAUAUCUUCUGACUCCAGCAUGAUUUUCAAUCAGUUCCAUGAGGUGAUUCUCCUCGGUGAGUGGAUAUUCCGCGUAACAAUUCAGGAUCCAACCUCCUUCUAUCACAUGGCUGUGAUUUAUGCUGAAGUUUUAAAGAUGUAUACUUGGAUAAAAAAGCAUACGGAAGGGACAACUGCUUCUUAACCAACCCAAAAGAUAACAUUAUCCUCUUAAAGCAGAUGUCAUUAAAGUCAUCCAUUUGAUAACUGUUUCUCAUCAUCAAACGCAAAGUCACCCUGGCGUGAACAAAUACGCUGGAUAUGUGUAAAUAUACUAAUCCAUUAUGGAAGAUCCUUGAAGUCAA